rfam:Ktedonobacter racemifer DSM 44963 strain SOSP1-21 Krac_Contig206, whole genome shotgun sequence.
GUCAUGGACCCCGGCAUGCAUGCUGGGGCUUGCAGGCAUCCUCACCGGUGUCUGUAGGCCCGAACAUGACCAGACCCAGCCACCGACGCUGAUGCGUGCAUCAACGUUGAUGGGGCUCCGUUCUCAGGGAGUGUCAAAGAUCGUACCUGCGCGUGCGAGGCCAGCGUGCAGCUCUCCAACCGGCGGGUUAAACAGGGCGUGGGUAUACCCAGUGCUCGUCGGAUGUGCCGCCUGAGAACAUCGUCGAGGCCACCAUUAC